CUGAAGGUGUGCUGCAGGUCAGAGGCGAAGCUCUGUUCCUCCUCCUGAUUGGUGGAUUGGGGGAUUAUAUCUCCAUUGGUCAGGACGUGUGGUCAGUCUCGAGUGGUGGAUCUUCAGCAGGAGAAGCAGCUCCACACGUCUGAGGUCUAACGUCCGAAAGCUUUCGAAGCCGCUGAUGGAGAGAAGAAGACGAGCUCAAAUGAACCGCAGUCUGAGCCGCCUGAAAAACCUGGUCCUGCAGACGCUUCACAAACCUACAUCACAACAUACCAAACUGGAGAAAGCAGACAUUUUGGAACUGACAGUGAAACACAUCAGAAACAUCAAACAGAAAUCUGGUGAGAAAAACUUCAUCAUAAUAUUUUAAAAAAUCUUUCAACUACAGGGGUGGAGUUUAUCUAAAACAGGGGCGUGCCUCAUUUACAAACCAGGGGGUGGAGUUUAUCUAAAACAGGGGCAUGUCUCAGUGACAAACUUGGGGAUGGAGUUUAUCUAAAACAGGGGUGUGUCUCAGUGACAAACCAGGGGGUGGAGUUUAGGUAAAUCAGGGGCGUGUCUCAGUUACAAACCUGGGGGUGGAGUUUAGGUAAAUCAGGGGCAGGUCUCAGUUACAAACCUGGGGGUGGAGUUUAGGUAAAUCAGGUGUGUGUCUCAGUUGCACAUCUGGGGGUGGAGAUGAUCUAAACCAGGGGCAUGUCUCAGUUACAAACCUGGGGGUGGAGUUUAGGUAAAGCAGGGGUGUGUCUCAGUUACACAUCUGGGGCGGAGAUUAUCUAAACCGGGGUGGUGUCUCAAUUACAAACCUGGGGGUGGAGUUGAUCUAAAACAGGGGCGUGUCACAAUUACAAACCUGGAGGCAGAGUUGAUCUAAAACAGGGGCGUGUCACAGUUACAAACCUGGAGGCGGAGUUGAUCUAAAACAGGGGCGUGUCACAGUUACAAACCUGGAGGCGGAGUUGAUCUAAAACGGGCGUGUCACAGUCACAAACCUGGGGGCGGAGUUGAUCUAAUACAGGGGCGUGUCUCAGUUACAAACCUGGGGGCGGAGUUGAUCUAGAACAGGGGCGUGUCUCUGUUCUAAGUCCACUAGCAGGUCAGUGAGAUGCCUGUAGUCUUUCCCACAGUGCUCCAGAGUUACAGAGCAGGAUUCAGUGCAUGUGCACACGAUGUGGCUCACUUCCUGUCCAGCUGUGAGAGUGUGAGCAAUGAGAUGAGGAUGUGCUUGCUUGCUCAUCUGGUCAGGUGUUUAUCAGAGAUGACCCUGGUCACUCCACCACUCCCUGCAGCAUGCACAUCUUCUGCACAGCUCAGCGUGUAUGGACCCAGUGUCUGUUCCCAGCAGUCCUCACACACAGACUGAUGAGCAGUGGGAGGUUGACUCCUUUCAUCUCCAGUGUGGUUCAUGUCCACCUCAGGGGGCAGCUGUGGAGACCAUGGUGACCAGGGGGCAGUAGAAUUCCACUCCCCAUGACAGCUUAAUGCCUGGAACGUUCUCAUUCUCCAGGACAUCUUUCAGUUCU